AUACGUAGGGUGCAAGCGUUAAUCGGAAUUACUGGGCGUAAAGCGUGCGCAGGCGGUUUUGUAAGACAGUGGUGAAAUCCCCGGGCUCAAACUGGGAACUGCCAUUGUGACUGCAAGGCUGGAGUGCGGCAGAGGGGGAUGGAAUUCCGCGUGUAGCAGUGAAAUGCGUAGAUAUGCGGAGGAACACCGAGGGCGAAGGCAAUCCCCUGGGCCUGCACUGACGCUCAUGCGCGAAAGCGUGGGGAGCAAACAGUAUUAGAUACCCUGGUAGUCCACGCCCUAAACGAUGUCAACUGGUUGUUGGGGAUUUAUUUUCUCAGUAGCGAAGCUAACGCGUGAAGUUGACCGCCUGGGGAGUACGGCCGCAAGGUUAAAACUCAAAUGAAUUGACGGG
rnacentral:rRNA from 1 species